UGAACGCUGGCGGCGUGCCUACUACAUGCAAGUCGAGCGAACAGACGAGGAGCUUGCUCCUCUGACGUUAGCGGCGGACGGGUGAGUAACACGUGGAUAACCUACCUAUAAGACUGGGAUAACUUCGGGAAACCGGAGCUAAUACCGGAUAAUAUAUUGAACCGCAUGGUUCAAUAGUGAAAGACGGUUUUGCUGUCACUUAUAGAUGGAUCCGCGCCGCAUUAGCUAGUUGGUAAGGUAACGGCUUACCAAGGCAACGAUGCGUAGCCGACCUGAGAGGGUGAUCGGCCACACUGGAACUGAGACACGGUCCAGACUCCUACGGGAGGCAGCAGUAGGGAAUCUUCCGCAAUGGGCGAAAGCCUGACGGAGCAACGCCGCGUGAGUGAUGAAGGUCUUCGGAUCGUAAAACUCUGUUAUUAGGGAAGAACAAAUGUGUAAGUAACUAUGCACGUCUUGACGGUACCUAAUCAGAGAGCCACGGCUAACUACGUG
rnacentral:rRNA from 1 species